rnacentral:lncRNA from 1 species
AUCCUCCUCCCGGCCCCCGGCAGCUGCGGCUCGGGGAGCAGCCGGCGGCGCCGCGGCCGCGCAGCCUUUGUCUCGGGCCGCCGGGCGCGCGGGGCCCAGCGCAGGCGUAAGUGACCGGUGGCCGGGCCGCGGGGGGUCGGCGGGGAGCGGGCUGGGGGUCGCGGGCGCUCCCUGCAGUGGGGAGGCCGGGCCGGCCAGAUCCUCCCGCCACGCGUGUCCCGGGAUGCUCGGGCGGUGCCGGCGCGCGGGGGCGCGAGGAGAGCCGAGCGGGGCCACCGCCCGGGAGGGCGCGGGACGCAGAGAGGGGCUCGGGGCCCGCCGGGCCGCGGGGUCGGGGGAGGGGGUGCAGGCUCGCGGGGCGCCGCAGCUUGGCGCCCACAGACGUGCGGCUUGGGUGCAAAUCCUGUUUCUCUGGGCAGAGGCCACGCGGGGACGGAGGAGGCAGAGAGGACGGGCUGUGAUGGAGAAACGGGAGAGGAGCCGGCCAGGCGCCACCGUCACCACCAUCACCAACCACCACCACCAUCACCAUCACUGACUGUCGCCCAUCCCAGCUCCCCUGCCUCACCUCCCAUCUCAUAUCCCUGUGCAGUGCCAACUUUAUCAGAUCAUCUCUUUUUCACUGGGCCCCAGGGACGGCUGACCAUUCAGAACAAACACAGGGACAGAGCCCCAGGGCUGUUGGGAAGCCCAGCACCAGAGGGCAUGAACCUUCUUAGGAGAAGUAAAACUUACAAAAAACAAGCUCUUAAACCCUCC